GAUGAACGCUGACAGAAUGCUUAACACAUGCAAGUCAACUGUGGCGGACGGGUGAGUAACGCGUAAAGAACUUGCCUCACGGAUAGGGACAACAUUUGGAAACGAAAGCUAAUACCUGAUACAGUGAGAGAGCUUUGCGUCCCAUUAGCUAGUUGGAGAGGUAACGGCUCACCAAGGCGAUGAUGGGUAGGCGGCCUGAGAGGGUGAUCGGCCACAAGGGGACUGAGAAACGGCCCUUACGCCUACGGGAGGCAGCAGUGGGGAAUAGUGGACAAUGGACCAAAGUCUGAUCCAGCAAUUCUGUGUGCACGAUGAAGUUUUCGGAAUGUAAAGUGCUUUCAGUUGAGAAGCGGUACCUACAGAAGAAGUGACGGCUAAAUCCGUGCCAGCAGCCGCGGUAAUAC
rnacentral:rRNA from 1 species